rnacentral:tRNA from 1 species
GGGCCUGUAGCUCAGCUGGUCAGAGCACACGCUUGAUAAGCGUGGGGUCGAAGGUUCAAAUCCUUCCGGGCCCACCA